rnacentral:tRNA from 1 species
GGGCCCAUAGCUCAGUGGACAGAGCGGCCGGCUCAUAACCGGUUGGUCCUUGGUUCGAAUCCAAGUGGGCCCA